GCCAGCGCACAAUGAGCGUGGCACGAGCCAGCCCGAAGAAGAGAAACUUCACUAAUGAAAACUGCACAUUGCAACCAGAAACGGGCCCAUGCCGGGCUAUGAUAUCUAGGUGGUAUUUUGACACCAAUAAUAGUACGUGCACGCCAUUUUUCUAUGGUGGUUGUGAGGGAAAUGGAAAUAACUUUGACACACAAGAUGAGUGUAAACAAAAUUGCUCUGAGAGAUGUGCGCGUGGACCGAGAUGUGCAGGACCUGGCGGUCAAUAACACGGUUCUAUCCGGAAUGCAC